CGGGGUGGAGUAAUGCUUGGGAAUCUAGCUUAUGGAGGGGGGUAACUACGGGAAACUGUAGCUAAUACCGCGUAGUAUCGGAAGAUGAAAGUGUGGGGACCUUCGGGCCACAUGCCAUAGGAUGAGCCCAAGUGGGAUUAGGUAGUUGGUGAGGUAAAGGCUCACCAAGCCGACGAUCUCUAGCUGGUCUGAGAGGAUGACCAGCCACACUGGGACUGAGACACGGCCCAG
rnacentral:rRNA from 1 species